CUUGAUGGCGCCCAGCCACAGCGGCCGGCCCUCGGGGCGCUCCUGGCCGUAGGUGGCCAGCAGCGCCUGCGCCUC
rfam:Streptomyces zinciresistens K42 contig00003, whole genome shotgun sequence.